GAGCGGGGGCGAGGCCGCCGCGUUAUCUGGGUCACCGGGGUUAGAAGGAGCGGCCGAUAGGACCGGGGGAGCUGCGCUCCGCUGCUGCGGAGAUAGAGCCGCGAUCCGGGCCGGGCGGGCACCGCGCGGUUGGGAGGGAGGAGGGAGGGAGGGAGAGAGGGAGGGAGGAGGAGGAGACGGCGGCUCGUUCCGGCUCCCGAGCCGAGCCCAGCCCUCCGAAGAUUUAACCCUUUGCCCGCAGAGCCUCGAGGUGGGCGAACACAAAGCACGUCGCGAAAGCCUCAGACCGAAAGGAUCCCGACCAUCACGGGAACGGCGCACGGCCAUAAGUCGGUAUCGCGCCGGCUGUGCCGUACGACCCCGGGACGGCGGCACACAGCAGAGGGGCCCGGCCCGGCCCGGCCCUGCCCCGUCCCUCGCCGCCGUGUGCCGCCGGGCACAUCGCUCCCACACAUGGUCCGCAUUUCGCACGGCAGCAGCGUGCUUCCUCCCGGCCUCACGUUGCCGCUCUCCGAACAGAGAGAGAGAGAGAGAGGGGAGAAAAAAAAAAAGAAACAACACCAGAGGUUUAGAGGAAGUUAAAAAUCAGGCGAGCUAAGAAAUGCUCCCCGUUACACACAUCCUGCUUGAAAGCGAAAGCCCGGCGUUCCGGCCCUGCUCCCCGGCACUGGCGCCGGCGUUGGACGCGGCGAGGUGACCGCUCCGUGCUUGGGGCUCGCCGCUGCACCCCGUCCCCCUGCACCCUCGCCCCGGGGCCGGGCGCUGGGAGAGCAUCGCCCCGCGUCCCCCCUUCCCUUCCCUUCCCUUCCCUUCCCUUCCCUUCCC
ensembl:lncRNA